GACGCCAUUUUAGGCCUUAGCCUGCCUGCACCCAGGCGCUCAUUAAAACAGCAGGUUGCUCCACACUGCCUCGUGUUGUCUGUUGGCACACUCUCAAGAGUUUGAACGGAUACAAGAAUCUUUCAUCUGGUGCCGAAACCCGGGAGGGGCUCCGGUCUUCGUCCCCCGUGGACCUACCCCUCCGCCCCAGAAAGCAGGCCACAGCAGCCGGACAAAGGAAGCUCCUCAGCCUCCAGUUGCUUCUCUGUGCAUGCACAUCAGUCACUGAUCUCACCUACUGGCCCAGUCCCAAGGCGCAAGGCCACUUGUGCCAGCAGUGUGAGUCAGCAAGAUAGCAGAAGCAGGAAGAGAGCCGGCCAGAAGACACCUACUCUGACUGGGAGACACGUACCCCUGAAGAUUGAGAAAGAGGCCAUCCAGGGAGUGAAGAUGGAAUGAGAAGAACAGAGAAACAAUGACAGAGUCCUUACAAACACCAUGAUACAAGAAGGCAAUGGGGAUAUGUUAUCCUAAAGGAAUCCUAAAAGAAGUGAUCAAAAAGGUGAACAGAAAACCAAGUGGGAGUACUGUCACUGAGGAUGAGUUUCCAGAGAGAAUUAAUGCUGAAGAAGCUAUUGCAGACACUGCUGAGUAUGAAGAACUAAUUGGAGAAGGAAGCCGUUGUAUAGCAGAUGCAGAGCAGCAGCAAAAAUGGUAAUGAAAAUAGAAGAUAAAUUAGAAAAUUUGGAAAAACCCAAACAGAUCAGCCAUAUUGAAGGGAAAAAGAAAAACAAAACAAAGUGGGAGGGCAGAAAUGUAGAACGGUAUACACUCUUUUAACCCCAAGGAUGAAUGUAGCCAAGAACACAGUGGGGACUUAGGAGUCUCAGCACAGAGCAUUCUCUACUCCCUACUGCUCAGGCAAAGAACUCCUUCAUCAUGCAGAACCAAAACUGGUGUAGAGUCUUAAAUGACCUGGGUAUCUCUACGCAGAAGAAAGCGCUUUCCAUGUAAAAGGAUUAACUUGAACCUGGGUGCUCAAGGGACACCCUAGGCUGCUUAUCCCACUGAUUCUGAUCUGACUGUGUUAAGUAAUAAAUCAUGUGGUUACAUAUUCACAUUA
rnacentral:lncRNA from 1 species